rnacentral:rRNA from 1 species
AGAUUGAACGCUGGCGGCAUGCCUUACACAUGCAAGUCGAACGGCAGCACGGGGGCAACCCUGGUGGCGAGUGGCGAACGGGUGAGUAAUGCAUCGGAACGUGCCCAGUAGUGGGGGAUAACUAGUCGAAAGAUUAGCUAAUACCGCAUACGACCUACGGGUGAAAGCGGGGGAUUCGCAAGAACCUCGCGCUA